UUCUCUUUCUUUCUCUUUCUUCUAUUCUCUGCUCUGCUCUUUUCUAUUCUUCAGUCGAGCGCUGGUUUGAGAAACAAAUCGGAGAUUAGGAGGUCGUAUAAAGAGCACAUGGGUUGUACAGAUUGUUGAUAGUGUUGAAGUUAAUUCGAGUUCAGGAUGAAGAAGAUAGAGUUGCUACUGUUAACCGGAGUUAGGGUUUUAAAUUUGAGAUGAAGAAAUCAAGAGUAAUGAAUGAAUCAGUCGAGAACCUUGAUGUUUAUUGAUGGUGUUGUUGAUGCAAAAGGUUAAUUCAACUCAUAUAAGGUAAAUCAGAAUUCAGAAAUUAGGGUUUGUUAUAAGUUUGUUUAGAAGUUCGAUUAGAAAGAUGAAUAAAUGAAUAAGAUGAAAUUAGAGAGGGGUUUUAUCCGAAUUAGAGUUUGAGAUUGAAGAUUAGCUUGAAAUUGACAGUUAAGGUUUGGGUCGGUUUUAAGGAAGAUUUGGGAUUUGAAUUGAGAGUAGUUAAGAACUGUUGGUGAUGAUGAAGACUGUGGGUUUAGUUAAUUUAGGUUUUCUAUGGAGGUGGCUGGUGAAACAACAAUUAAGAGGAUGCUGGUAUUUGGGUAAGUUCUGAGUUGUUGAAAUUUGAAUAUUUGUUUUGAACUGAUUGUAUAGUUGAGUUAUGGAAUUGGUGUUAUUGUUGAGCAUGCUAAAUCUAGGGGAAAAGAGAUUGUGUCGUGGAAUGCAGGGAAAGGAUUGUUUAUACUGAAGUUGAAUUGGAUCUUACGGAGUUUUAGUUUCAGUUUUAUUGUGAAAUUGAGAAGUUGGACUUUUAAGUGAAUUACAGGGGGUGUUGUUGAUUGAAGUUGAUUAAGAAGUAUUGGAUAGAAGUUGAAUUGAAUGUUAAUGUGGAUAUGCAGUGACAGUAUUGCUCCAGGAAGUGAUAACGUUGUUUUGCAGAUGUAGAUAAGUGAGUUGGUGAUUAGGAGUGAAGAUCACAGGUGGUUGUAGUGAUGCUGAAAUGAGAAUUGCAGUUUAUAGAUGAACUGAGUUGAGAUGAAUUUUGGAGAAUGAAGCUAAUAAGAUAGUGAUGCUGAGAGUUGCAGUUGAUGCUAAUUGAGCUGUUGGUGGAGACAAUGAAGAGCUGGCAGAGAUGUUAAUGUUUUAGAGAAGUGUUUAGAGGUUGAAUAUAAUUAGGAUUUGAAAUGUGUAUGGGUUGAAGAUUACAGUUGGGGGUAGUGCUGAGUUGAGAAUGAAGUUGCAGGUGUUAUGAGUGAUUAUCUUAAAAGUGUAGGAGCUGCAGUUGUGUUAGUGAUUGAGCUAGGUUGAUAUGUAGUGGUAGAUGUAGAGUUAUUGAUGGUCUUGGUGAAGGCUUACAUCCUCUACCUAAAGUUAGUUAUUAACAACGAUCGAUUCAAGGACGAACCGUAGAUCGUGGAUCUCGAGGUAGGCGUGCCUUGUCAUCAAAAGAGUUUCAGAGACAGAUCAGAGUUGCGCAGCGAAAUCUCCGAGAAGUUGACUUCGUUAGUUGGUUGUAUUCUGAUAUGUUUAUUAUGUUGUAUAUUCUAUUUUGUAAACCAAAUGAAGAUUAUAUAUGUAUCAUUUGAGAGAAGUUCUUGUA